rnacentral:lncRNA from 1 species
GGUGGCUGUAGAUGGACCAUUUGGUACUGCUACUGAGGACAUAUUUUGGUAUGAAGUUGAUGUGUUUGUAGCCUCAGGGAUAGGAGUUACUCCAUUUGCAUCAAUAUUGAAACACAUCAGGUAAAGAAAUCAACUUGUAAGAGCGUUUAAAAUUCAAAAAAGAGGAGAUUGCUUCUCUGAGUUAUUUUAAUAAUGAAUGUAGCUGUAUGCAUACACAGAAAUGUAUAAGCCUUGAAAAAGAAACAAAAUGAAUAAAUUCAGAUACAGGAAUUGAAAAGACUUUUUUCCAAUUCAUUUACUUCAAUUUAUAUGAUGUAAUAUACAAAAACAUAUAUUUGAAAAGGCAAAGAAAAUAAUCUCUCGCUUUGAAGUUUUGUCUCGACUCAUUUUUUUGCGCCCGUUUAUGGAACAUAUAGAAUACUGUUGUCUGUCCGUCAAUUCUUCGUCAAAAUUUCGGACAUUUACUAAAAAAUACUGUAACCAAAUUGCAUCAAACUUUGCUGAAUUGUUUAUAUCUACUGACUUGAACUCCCUUUCGAUUUUUAUUCAUUAAAAAGGGUGAUUUUCCAUGCUUUCUUCAACUUGCAAGAAAUGUUUUUUGAGUUGUUCAUGUUGUUCACAUUUUUAUAAAUUUUUGAUUUUUAGGGUUUUAUAAAUAAAAAAAGGCGAUGUUGCUGGUUUUUUAAUAAUUACUCAAAAUGCUUCAGAAGUUCUCAUAAAACUUAGGUGAAUCAUUAAUAUCUAUUGAGGUAAGUUCCCUUUAUAAUUUUAAUAAUUCAAGAUAUUACAUAACGGAGUUUUGUUGUUUUAUUCAUUAAAAAAGGGGGGAUUUUUCAGUUUUUUGCACAAAAACUCAAAAAAUGCUUUCAGCAAUUCUCAUAAAACUUUGGUGAAUUGUUAUAUCUAUUCAUUUAGCCAAACUUCAAUGGUGUUUGUAUUCCGUUAUAUCUCAUAUUGUAUUUUCUUGUAGUCUCAUAUUGUAUUUUCUUGUAAUGUUCUAUUGUAAUUUAUUGUAGUCUCUUAUUAUAUAUUUCUUGCAGUCUCAUAGUUGAAAUAUUUUUUCUGUAGUUUCAGUAGGAGGUUGUGUAAUUUUUUGUUCGUGCAACUGUUAAGGGAUCCUGAUAGAGCAAAUCUCAAUUAAAGUCAACAUAGCAAUAUAAUAGCUAGUCAACAUAAAAGACAAAAUAAUUGCUCCAAAACAAACUACACCCAAGGCAAAUAUAAGGGGUUUCUGUGUGUAAACCAAAACAUAGUCUCAGCAAAUCAUUCUGGCUUAAAGUAGAAAGACAGUUAGAAUUAAUAUUUAUUCCAAAAUCAUUUAAUUUUGGCUUUUGAGAAACACGCAGCAGCAUCCAAAACGAAUUUUGAGUUCCUGUCUGAGCAAGUCAGCUUGCAACCUUCAGUGUAAGGAAGAACCUACCUGCCCGACAAUGCGCCAACAAGGUGAUGUGAAGCGAGUGUUUUCUACUUAGGUGAUGAGACUAUUCGUCUCAUCAGCAGCCAGGUAGUGCAAUGUCUGCAUGGGGGAUAGUCCAUGUGCUAGUAGAGAAGUAGGGGUUUAUCAAAUUGGCACUAGAAUAAAUUUAAUAAGAUUUGUCCCCGAAAUGCUUGAGGAUGAAUGAAAUUUUAGAAUUGACCAGUGAUAAAAUUCCAUUAAGGAAAAAAUAAAAUAAAGAAAAAUAUAUAUCACUAGUUAAAGCUGAGUUGUUUCUCUAGUCAUGAAACAAUAUUGAAGAUUUAAGAAGGGGAAGGUGGGAGGUAAAUUGAAUAAUAGCACUGUAAAACUCCAUCAGAUAGUCAGGCUGCUAUGAACCAAGAAACUGAUUAUACAAAGACCAUGCAUUGGCUUUACACAAAGAGUUGGUACAUCUAACAUCCAGGGGGAGGAGACUGACCUUACUGACCCUCAAAUAAUACCCUAAUUAUUGUGUAAUCAGAAAUAAAAAUAUCUGGUAUCAUAUCCUGCUUUUCCUCUCCUACAGUGAUUGUUUGUGACAUGUAUCUGAUUAAGAAAAGAUUAGUGUGCCUCCUUUGGUGAGAUUCCAGUUGUAACUUCAGAGUGUCAAAUGUUAGAAAAAUUAACCUCAAGAUAAAGCAAAACAAUGUUGUUGUUUUAUGUGUUGCUGUAAUUGUCUAAAAAAUGUAUAAUGGUUGUUUUAAUAUCCUGUAGGUGCCAGUGUAUGAACCCUGAUGGAAAAAUGAAGUUAAGAAAGGUAUAAUUUUUCUGGGUAUGUCCAGAUACCAACUCAUUUGAAUAGAUGCAAGAAC